rnacentral:rRNA from 1 species
GGGACACGUGGUAUCCUGUCUGAAUAUGGGGGGACCAUCCUCCAAGGCUAAAUACUCCUGACUGACCGAUAGUGAACCAGUACCGUGAGGGAAAGGCGAAAAGAACCCCGGCGAGGGGAGUGAAAAAGAACCUGAAACCGUGUACGUACAAGCAGUGGGAGCACCUUCGGGUGUGACUGCGUACCUUUUGUAUAAUGGGUCAGCGACUUAUAUUCUGUAGCAAGGUUAACCGUAUAGGGGAGCCGCAGGGAAACCGAGUCUUAACUGGGCGUUAAGUUGCAGGGUAUAGACCCGAAACCCGGUGAUCUAGCCAUGGGCAGGUUGAAGGUUGGGUAACACUAACUGGAGGACCGAACCGACUAA